rnacentral:rRNA from 1 species
GGUCCCGGGAAAUAGCCCCACCGUAUAGACCGUACCCGAAACCGACACAGGUGGUCAGGUAGAGUAUACCAAGGCGCUUGAGAGAAGUGUCCUGAAGGAACUCGGCAAAUUGCCUCCGUACUUUCGGAAGAAGGAGGCCCUCACUGAGCGCAAGCUUUUUGAGGGGGCACAGGCCAGGGGGUAGCGACUGUUUAGCAAAAACACAGGGCUCUGCUAAGUCGGCUUCAAGACGACGUAUAGGGUCUGACGCCUGCCCGGUGCCUGAAGGUUAAGUGGAGGGGUGCAAGCUCCGAAAUGAAGCCCAGGUAAACGGCGGCCGUAACGAUAACGGUCCUAAGGUAGCGAAAUUCCUUGUCGGGUAAGUUCCGACCUGCACGAAUGGCGUAACGACUUCCCCACUGUCUCCAGGACAUGCUCAGCGAAAUUGAAUUCUCCGUGAAGAUGCGGAGUACCCGCGGUUAGACGGAAAGACCCCGUGCACCUUUACUGCAGCUUCAGAGUGGCAUUAGGAAGGAACUGUGUAGAAUAGGUGGGAGGCUUUGAAGCAUUGGCGCCAGCUGAUGUGGAGCCGCAAUGUGAAAUACCACCCUGUUGUUUUCUGAUGUCUAACCUCGAUCCAUGAAACUGGAUCAGGGACCCUCUGUGGCGGGUAGUUUGACUGGGGCGGUCGCCUCCUAAAGAGUAACGGAGGCGCGCGAAGGUUGGCUCAGGACGGUUGGAAACCGUCUGUUAGAGUGCAAUGGCAUAAGCCAGCCUGACUGCGAGACUGACAAGUCGAGCAGAGACGAAAGUCGGUCAUAGUGAUCCGGUGGUCCCUCGUGGAAGGGCCAUCGCUCAACGGAUAAAAGGUACGCCGGGGAUAACAGGCUGAUAACCCCCAAGAGCUCAUAUCGACGGGGUUGUUUGGCACCUCGAUGUCGGCUCAUCACAUCCUGGGGCUGGAGCAGGUCCCAAGGGUUUGGCUGUUCGCCAAUUAAAGUGGCACGUGAGCUGGGUUCAGAACGUCGCGAGACAGUUGGUCCCUAUCUGCCGUGGGCGUCGAAAUUUGAGAGGAGUUGACCCUAGUACGAGAGGACCGGGUUGAACAUACCUCUGGUGUACCUGUCGUUCCGCCAGGAGCGCAGCAGGGUAGCUAUGUAUGGACGGGAUAACCGCUGAAAGCAUCUAAGCGGGAAGCCUCCCUCGAGAUAAGAUUUCUUAGGACGGUCGGAGACCACGACCUUGAUAGAUCGGAUGUAGAAGUGCGGUAACGCAUGGAGCUAACCGAUACUAAUUGUCC